rnacentral:tRNA from 1 species
AGGGUAUAGCUCAGGGGUAAGAGUGUGUGCUCAGCAUGCACGAGGUCCUGGGUUCAAUCCCCAGUACCUCUG